CCCAGCUCGUCAUGCUAGAGCACUUUUUCAAUGGGCUCCCCAACAACAAGGUGGCGACGCAUUCGUACGUCAUCCAUAUCAACUUUCGAUGCCACUUUCUGCACCUACCAAGGUGACCACGGGUAACGGGGAAUCAGGGUUCGAUUGCGAAGAGGGAGCCUGAGAAACGGCUACCACAUGCGAGGAAGGCAGCAGGCGCACAAAUGACCCACUCCCGACGCGGGAAGGUAGUGAUG